UACGUAGGUGGCGAGCGUUGUCCGGAAUUACUGGGCGUAAAGGGCGUGUAGGCGGGUCUGUAAGUCAGAUGUGAAAUUCCAAGGCUUAACCUUGGCGCUGCAUCUGAAACUAUGGUUCUUGAGUGCUGGAGAGGAAAGCGGAAUUCCUAGUGUAGCGGUGAAAUGCGUAGAUAUUAGGAGGAACACCAGUGGCGAAGGCGGCUUUCUGGACAGUAACUGACGCUGAGGCGCGAAAGCGUGGGGAGCAAACAGG
rnacentral:rRNA from 1 species